GUGAAUCAUCGAAUCUUUGAACGCAAAUUGCACUCCCUGGUAUUCCGGGGAGUAUGCCUGCUUGAGAGUCGGUAGAAGAAAAAUCGAAACAGCUCUCUUUUUUUAUUGGUGAUCGCGGCGGGAUUGAGCCGUGUUGCAAAUGUUAAUUCAUGUCAAAAUGGCGUAAAAUUCAUCCAUCCGGUACUAUUAAAGCGUAUUUAAGGUCAAUUUAGAUUA
rnacentral:misc_RNA from 1 species